UACGGAGGGGACUAGCGUUGUUCGGAAUUACUGGGCGUAAAGCGCACGUAGGCGGGUUGUUAAGUCAGGGGUGAAAUCCUGGAGCUCAACUCCAGAACUGCCUUUGAUACUGGCGACCUAGAGACUGGAAGAGGUUAGUGGAAUUCCCAGUGUAGAGGUGAAAAUUCGUAGAUAUUGGGAAGAACACCAGUGGCGAAGGGCGGACUAACUGGUCCAGCACUGACGCUGAGG
rnacentral:rRNA from 1 species